GGCCUACGGGGCGCAGCAGUCGGGAAUAUUGCGCAAUGGAGGAAACUCUGACGCAGUGACGCCGCGUAUGGGAAGAAGGUUUUCGGAUUGUAAACCAUUGUCGUUAGGGAAGAAGAAGUGACAGUACCUAAGGAGGAAGCUCCGGCUAACUAUGUGCCAGCAGCCGCGGUAAUACAUAGGGAGCGAGCGUUAUCAGGAUUUAUUGGGUGUAAAGGGUGCGUAGACGGGAAUACAAGUUAGUAGUGAAAUCACUCGGCUUAACUGAGGAACUGCUACUAAAACUAUAUAUCUUGAGUACUGGAGGG
rnacentral:rRNA from 1 species